ACAAGGCACUGAAAAAAACGUCUGCCGAACAGAUACCUCUUGCCAUGUAUGAGAUCCUGUGAUUCACUCAUCCUCUCAGCCUUAGCGACAGAACGGGACCCAGCAGCAGGAAGAACAUGUACAAAAGCACAGAAGUCCAGAAGAGCCUGCAAUCUGGUAGAAAUGGCACAGAACUCCACUUGCCUAGAGCACAUGGUACAAACGGUGACAGUCUCUGAAAAGCAAGACACAUCCAACACAGGAAAAGCAAGAACUGCCUGCUGAUGAGCACUUUCAGAUCUAAGACAGGGCGGCCCCUCUUAAAAAUCCCCUGGGCCUGGACCCCAAGCUGAGAAGAUUCACCAAUGGGACCUGGAUUUGACUCCUCCCUCCUCUGAGCUCUCAGAACGUGCUCAGAACUGUAGUCCAGUAUAGGCACCACCCUGUUCUCACUUGCCUGUCUCUCUACUUCAUUUAACCUUCUGUAUUGAAGUAUAAUUACAUACAAUAAACCUCUAACGGGUAAUGGGCACCAUUUAAUUA